rnacentral:tRNA from 1 species
GAGAGAGGCCCGCCACAGCAAAGACUGCUAAUCUUCGCCCCUUUGGUUAAACUCCAAAGCUCACUCG